ACGUGAGCGCAGCUCAGGAGUAGAAAACGAUGCGCAAGCUGCAAUUCGAUAAUAAUUUCUUUCGACCUCCUUGUUAAGCGUUGAAAGAGGGAAAAAUUUUCCGUAUUGUCGAGCGUUUACCCUCUAGACGAAAGGCCAGCGAGCUGGACGAGUCAGCCGGGCGAGCGCUCCGUGCUCCCCCGGCGGCGUGUGGUGUGGCGAGACCUGCGCAACUCGUCCGUAAAACGCACUUCAUUCUAGGAAUAAGGACGGUAAGGCUGCAUCUAGGCGUCGCCCUGGUCCCAAUGGUCUCCUAGCAUAUCGCUUCGCGGUGCCGCGGGCAGUAGGUCUGUCUGUACAGCUUGCAGGCUCACAAAAUGAUUACGAAUCCCGAACCUAUGUCGGAUGAACGACGACUCGAGACGACGCCCGCAGUGGUAUGCCAAAGCCGAUCUGUCUCUGUGAUGCAUCCGCUCCAGAGGUAUCAGCGCUAAAAGGGGUUUUCACGGCUGACACUCGGCGUACGAUAGCAUGUACGAAACGACCAGGAUAUCCGAGAGGAAUUCUAAGAAAUGGAACUUGAAGGUAGGUGCUUCAUGAUGGACGCUUUUUAGAUUACCAUUAUUCAUCCUGCUAUCUGGGAUCCAUGGUCCAUGGAAACGUUUUUUCAUCAGAAGAAAAAAUCUCCUCUUGUAAGCGCACAGCGCCCGCAGCAGGCGCAUCGUGCAACGUCGAUCGACGCUAUCACGCCAGUCCGCGAGCGUGCGCCGUGAACCUCAUCGACAAUCUCCUCAUGAAGCCGGUCAGCACGGCGCGCUCGCCGGGAUACCUCGUUAUACUGAAUGAACCUACAUGCCCUUGAAAACAACUCACUGGAUACGGCUGGCGACGUGCUCGCCAGCAGCUGUUGCUGCGCGUGCUCUUUUAUCGCGACUCUGAGGCUUCCUGCUGGUGGCCGGGUAUCGAUGUCGGCAACAGAUGAUCAAUGCGCACAAUAAGUUCCGAGUCUGUGUAUGGAAGCGGCUCAAGUUGCAUGGAUUUUGCGAGCGCUGGUGGAACAAAACGCCCGCCAAGGUAAUGGGCGCGCCCUUGCCAGAAAGCAGCGCAGCGUUUCGGGGCUGUCAGUGAAACCCAAACGUUCGCCAUUACCGCCAGGCUCGAGGCUGGUGCACGCUGAUCGCCGCUUGUCGAAGAGCGCGGGUCGGAUGCGGUGCGCUCUGCGGGACGCAUGGCCUCUGGCGGACCCCGCUCCACAUCCCAGCCAGAGGGGAUGUCCACCGCAAGCACCGUUGUCGCCCGGGGCGAUGCGUUCAUAAGACGGAUCAGCGUGGCGAAUGGAUCGCGCAUCGGUCGAUCCGCUCGAAACGAGAAACCGAAAAGGGCAUCGAUCAGGACGUCUGCCUCGCAGAUCGUCUGCUCAUAGGCUGCAGCGUCUACGAAGCGCACACCGUGGCUCAUUGCCUGUUUCACGAGGCGUUGGAAAUGGGGAUGCGAUCCCGGUUUCGGAUAAAUGGCGAAGACAUGUUCGUACCCCAGAAUGCAUAUGUGGCGAGCGGCAACGAGACCGUCACCGCCAUUGUUCCCGGGACCGCAGACUGCGACAAUUCGCUGACUGCGUUUAGGAUUCUCGCGAGCUGCUGCCAAGGCCACCGCAAGCCCGGCGAGUUCCAUGAGCUGCUCUAGGCUGUAGCCGAUAGUUUCUGACAUGAGCGCUUCAUCGACGCGUUGCGCCUCGGCCUGCGAUAGCAAGCGAAGCGUGCUUUGAUUAGCGAUACUCGACAUACAAAGCCAGCGCCCUGUAUUAGACCUUGUAAUCCUACGACCCAGAUUGAAACGAGAGAUUGCCAGUUGUCGAAAGGUCAGACAAGUCGUCAGCGGAGGACGCCAGUGCAAAAUGAACAUGAAGACGCUGCCGCCUGAAGCGUUGAGGCGUGCAACGGAGUCCUUUCUUUCUCGGCUUUCACGUUCAGAAGCUAACAGAGACCUCCCGUCCACCAACCGCAGCUCUGACGCCCACAAGCGCCAAGACUAUCACGACGUAAGACCAAUAUCAACGGGUUUCGCGAGCAGUUAGACCACUGGUCGAGAAGCUCCGCGACGACCUUUCGUAUAUAACGGUGCUGGCUGGGCAGCGGUCUCGAGUGCCGGUACCUACGCGUUUCACGCCAAACAGUGACGUGGUAGAGUCUAGGAAACACUGCUUUCAAACAGAAGAUGCAAUUGGAAAACGGAACGUGCGCUUGCGGACGUCGUGCUCGAAGACGCUCGCAGACUUUCGGUGUGUGGUCGUAUCGUUCGUUGUACAGGUGCGCGCUGCGGUCGGUGACCUCGGACGCGAAGCGCAGUGCCCCGGAGCGGGAGCCAAAGCGACCUCUGUGAAGGUCCAUGCAUCGCAGGGUGCGCGCACGGCAUGGAGUUGUAUGAGAACAAAGCCCAAGCCUCGUCUAGGCGCUGGUAUGGUUGAAUAUGUACACGAUGCGUUACUCGACGUUCGCUCGGCGAACAGUCUUGCAGAGAGCGUGCUUCUCAGGUUGCCCAGCGCUCUCGAUGCACAACGCGCUGGUAAAAGGUUUUCACGGA